rnacentral:rRNA from 1 species
GAUGAACGCUGGCGGCGUGCCUAAUACAUGCAAGUCGAGCGAACAGACGAGAGUGCUUGCACUCUCUGACGUUAGCGGCGGACGGGUGAGUAACACGUGGGUAACCUACCUAUAAGACUGGGAUAACUUCGGGAAACCGGAGCUAAUACCGGAUAAUAUUUAGCUUCGCAUGAAGUAAUAGUGAAAGACGGUUCUGCUGUCACUUAUAGAUGGACCCGCGGUGUAUUAGCUAGUUGGCGAGGUAACGGCUCACCAAGGCAACGAUACAUAGCCGACCUGAGAGGGUGAUCGGCCACACUGGGACUGAGACACGGCCCAGACUCCUACGGGAGGCAGCAGUAGGGAAUCUUCCGCAAUGGACGAAAGUCUGACGGAGCAAUGCCGCGUGAGUGAAGAAGGAUUUCGGAUCGUAAAACUCUGUUGUAAGGGAAGAACAAGUACGUUAGUAACUGAACGUACCUUGACGGUACCUUACCAGAAAGCCACGGCUAACUACGUG